UCUAUUAAUUCCCUUAUUUUAUUUAUUUAUAUAAAGAAAAGUUCUCACUAAAUAACCCCCCCAUUCUACCGAAACAAAUAAAUAAAAAAUUCAAACCAGUACCAAGAGGGAACUUUGAAAUAAAAUUAAAAUUAAAACCAAAAAAGGAGAAUCGUACCUUUUGUAUCAUGGUUACACAAGAAAAUAAGGAAAAUAAACCCAAACCCGAAAAAUAACGAGCUAACCUUUUCCACUUUCAAGGAGUAAUUAACCACUGUUGCAGUAGUGGAAAAAGAGAAAAGGUUAGAGGUUAAAUGCCACCCGCGUUAUUAGAUAGCUGGUUCUCGGGGAAAAAGAUUUAAGUCUUACGUUCAAAAGCUACCCAAACUUCCAAUUUAAAAAAAGGAAAUUCCUAGCACUGAACAGAAAGAGAACCGGAGAUAAGUUCCGAUCUCAAAGAGGAAACAACCUAAAGCAUAAAAAAGAUCAACCUAAAAAAGGAUUAACAACAAAAGUAGGCCUAAAAGCUGCCAACAUAAUAGAAAGCGUUAAAGCUCUAACUUUAAGAUCCUAAAAUAGCUGAGAAAAAUAUAACUUUUGUUUUAGGGGUACCCGAGAUAAAUAAUGUUUAAACAAGUAAGAACCUAAUCUAAGCUCAUUCUGCAGUGGAAAUACAAAUAUUAUAAACCCAGAAAGAGAAAAAUCAUCAAGAACUUCUCUCUCUAAUCUCCCCCCAACCCAGGAGCAGAAACAUAGAUAAAAGAAUAGCAGGGAAGGAACUCGGCAAAAUAAAGGAAGGACUGUUUACCAAAAACAUAGCCCCCUGAAGAAAUAUGGGGUUUAUCCUGCCCAGUGGUCAAAGACUAAACGGCCGCGGUAUCUUGACCGUGCAAAGGUAGCAUAAUCACUUGUCUUUUAAAUGAAGACUUGUAUGAACGGAAUAACCUUUCUUAACUGUCUCCCUUGUUUUCCUCUAAAACUCCUAUUCAGGUGAAGAAUCCUGAAUAAUACAGAAAGACGAGAAGACCCUGUCGAGCUUCAGCUGAAUAGGAGUUUUAGCAUUACUUUAUCAUCCUCUUAUAGCUUUGGUUGGGGCAACCACGGAGAAAAAGAAUCCUCCGGGAAUCGUAGAAGACUAUACCCUUCUCCACAUACAAAAGAAGAACCAGAAUCUGGUAAACGGAAAAAGUUACCGCAGGGAUAACAGCGUUAUCUCCUCUAAGAGUCCAUAUUGACGAGGAGGCUUGCGACCUCGAUGUUGGAUUGGGGUAUCCCCAGGGUGCAGAAGCUCUGAAAGGUCGGACUGUUCGUCCGUUAAAACCCUACAUGAUCUGAGUUCAGACCGACGCGAGUCAGGUCAGUUUCUAUCUUCUAGUUAGAGCCCUUCUAGUACGAAAGGACCGAGAGGCCCCUUUAAAUGGACAUCUCCAAAAAGGCAAGAAAAAAUU
rnacentral:rRNA from 1 species